rnacentral:rRNA from 1 species
GCAAGUUGCGCCCGAAAGCCUCACGGCCGAGGGCACGCCUGCCUGGGUGUCACGC